CACGUAGGGCGCAAGCGUUUGUCCGGAAUUAUUGGGCGUAAAGAGCUCGUAGGCGGCUUGUCGCGUCGGAUGUGAAAGCCCGGGGCUUAACUCCGGGUCUGCAUUCGAUACGGGCAGGCUAGAGUUCGGUAGGGGAGAUCGGAAUUCCUGGUGUAGCGGGUGAAAUGACGCAGAUAUCAGGAGGAACACCGGUGGCGAAGGCGGAUCUCUGGGCCGAUACUGACGCUGAGGAGCGAAAGCGUGGGGAGCGAACAGG
rnacentral:rRNA from 1 species